AUGUCUGGGAUGGGGACUUGUGAUGUUCUGGACUCUCCGCACUUACCGCAUUCAUUCACUCUACCUACCUCACUGGCCCCCCAUCCAUGUCCGCAGAAAUGCUCCAAUUACCCAGUCCUUUGCCAGAUGAGACCAAUGUCCUGAGCCCUGGCUCCCCAUCUCACUGAAGCCUAUGCCAAAGAUGUAAAAUUCGAUGCAGAAGCCCGAGCCUUAAUGCUGCAAGACCUUUUAGCCGUCGCUGUAGCAGUUAUAGUGGGGCCAAAGGGAAGAACAGUGAUUAUUGAACAGAGUUGGGGAAGUCCCAAAGUAACAAAAGAUGGUGUGACUGUUGCAAAGUCAAUUGACUUGAAGGAUAAAUAUAAAAACAUUGGAGCUAAACUUGUUCAGGAUGUUGGUAAUAACACAAAUGAAGAGGCGGGGGAUGGCACCACCACUGCUACUGUGCUGGCAUGCUCUAUUGCCAAGGAAGGCUUUGAGAAGAUCAGUAAAGGCGCUAAUCCAGUAGAAAUCAGGAGAAGUGUAAUGUUAGCUGUUGAUGCUGUCAUUGCAGAAUUUAAGAAGCAGUUCAAACCUGUGACAACCCCGGAAGAAAUUGCUCAGGUUGCUACAAUUUCCGCAAAUGGAGAUAAAGAAAUUGGCAACAUCAUUUCUAAUGCUAUGAAAAAGGUCGGAAGAAAGGGUGUCAUCACAGUAAAGGAUGGAAAAACACUAAAUGAUGAAUUAGAAAUUAUUGUAGGCAUGAAGUUUGAUCAAGGUUAUAUUUCUCCAUACUUUAUUAAUACAUCAAAAGGUCAGAAAUAUGAAUUCCAGGAUGCUUAUGCUCUAUUGAGUGAAAAGAAAAUUUCUAGUACAAUUUCAAAUUGUACCUGCUCUUGAAACUGCCAGUGCUUACCGUAAGCCCUUGGUCAUAAUUGCUGAAGAUGCUGAUAGAGAGGCUCUCAGUACACUCAUUUUGAAUAGGCUAAAAGUUGGUCUUCAAGUUGUAGCAGUCAAAGCUCCAGAUUUUGGUGAUAACAGAAAGAACCAACUUAAAGAUAUGGCUAUUGCUACUGGUGGUGCAGUGUUUGGUGAAGAGGGGCUGACCCUAAAUCUUGAAGAUGUUCAGCCUCAUGACUUAGGAAAAUUUGGAGAGGUCAUUGUAACCAAAGAUGAUGCUAUGCUCUUGAAAGGAAAAGGUGACAAGGCUCAAAUUGAAAAAUGUAUUCAAGAAAUCAUUGAGCAGUUGGAUGUCACAACUAGUGAAUAUUAGAAGGAAAAGCUGAAUGAACAUCUGGCAAAGCUCUCAGAUGGAGUAGCUGUGCUGAAGGUUGGUGGGACAAGUGAUGUUGAAAUGAAUGAGUAGAAAUACAGGGUUACAGAUACCCUUAAUGGUACAUGAGCAGCUGUGGAAGAAGGCAUUGUUCUGGACGGGGGCUGUGCCCUGCUUCAGUGCAUUCCAGCCUUGGACUCAUUAGCUCCAACUAACAAAGAUCAAAAAAUUGGUAUAUAAAUUAUUAAAAGAACACCCCAAAUUCCUGCAAUGACCAUUGCCAAGAAUGCAGGUGUUGAAGCCUCUUUGAUAGUUGAGAAAAUUAUGCGGAGUUCCUCAGAAAUUGGUUAUGAUGCUAUGAUUGGAGAUUUUGUGAAUAUGGUGGAAAAAGGAAUCAUUGACCCAACAAAGAUUGUAAGAACAGCUUUAUUGGAUGCUGUUGGCGUGGCCUCUCUGUUAACUAUGGCAGAAGAAGAGAAGGACCCUGGAAUGGCCGCAAUGGGUGGGAUGGGAGGUGGGAUGGGUGGUGGCAUUUUCUAACUCCUAGAAUAGUGCUUUGCCAUCAUUAAUGAACUGUGACAGGAAACUCAAGGCAGUGUCCUCCCCAAUAACUUCAGAGAUGUCAAUUGAAGAAAUUAUUGAAGAAAAGGCUGACUAAUUAAGAUCACUAUAGCCGUCAUCUACUGGUUUCAGUUGACAAUAUAUAAUGGUUUAUUGCUGUCAUUGUCCAUGCUUACAGAUAAUUUAUUUUGUAUUUUUACAAAAAGACAUUUGUACAUUCCUGAUACUGGGUGCAAGAGCCAUGUACCAAUGUACUGCUUUCAACUUAAAUCACUGAGGCAUUUUUACUACUGUUCUGUCAAAUCAGAAUUUUAGUGCUUGCCAUCACCAGAUGAGAAGUUCAGAAGCAGCCUUUUCAUGGAGAGUAUGAAUAACUGUACAAAGUAGAGAAAUAUCAAUUAUGUGACAACCUUUGUGUAGUAAAACUUUGUUUAAAGUUAAAAAAA